rnacentral:rRNA from 1 species
CUUGUUGGUGGGGUAACGGCCUACCAAGGUGAUGAUACGUAGCCGAACUGAGAGGUUGAUCGGCCACAUUGGGACUGAGACACGGCCCAAACUCCUACGGGAGGCAGCAGUAGGGAAUCUUCCACAAUGGACGAAAGUCUGAUGGAGCAACGCCGCGUGAAUGAAGAAGGCCUUCGGGUCGUAAAAUUCUGUUGUCAGAGAAGAAUGUGCGUGAGAGUAACUGUUCACGUAUUGACGGUAUCUGACCAGAAAGCCACGGCUAACUACGUGCCAGCAGCCGCGGUAAUACGUAGGUGGCAAGCGUUGUCCGGAUUUAUUGGGCGUAAAGGGAACGCAGGCGGUCUUUUAAGUCUGAUGUGAAAGCCUUCGGCUUAACCGAAGUAGUGCAUUGGAAACUGGAAGACUUGAGUGCAGAAGAGGAGAGUGGAACUCCAUGUGUAGCGGUGAAAUGCGUAGAUAUAUGGAAGAACACCAGUGGCGAAAGCGGCUCUCUGGUCUGUAACUGACGCUGAGGUUCGAAAGCGUGGGUAGCAAACAGGAUUAGAUACCCUGGUAGUCCACGCCGUAAACGAUGAGUGCUAAGUGUUGGAGGGUUUCCGCCCUUCAGUGCUGCAGCUAACGCAUUAAGCACUCCGCCUGGGGAGUACGGUCGCAAGACUGAAACUCAAAGGAAUUGACGGGGGCCCGCACAAGCGGUGGAGCAUGUGGUUUAAUUCGAAGCAACGCGAAGAACCUUACCAGGUCUUGACAUCUUCUGACAAUUCCAGAGAUGGAACGUUCCCUUCGGGGACAGAAUGACAGGUGGUGCAUGGUUGUCGUCAGCUCGUGUCGUGAGAUGUUGGGUUAAGUCCCGCAACGAGCGCAACCCUUAUUGUCAGUUGCCAUCAUUAAGUUGGGCACUCUGGCGAGACUGCCGGUGACAAACCGGAGGAAGGUGGGGAUGACGUCAAAUCAUCAUGCCCCUUAUGACCUGGGCUACACACGUGCUACAAUGGACGGUACAACGAGUCGCUAACUCGCGAGGGCAAGCUAAUCUCUUAAAGCCGUUCUCAGUUCGGAUUGCAGGCUGCAACUCGCCUGCAUGAAGUCGGAAUCGCUAGUAAUCGCGAAUCAGCAUGUCGCGGUGAAUACGUUCCCGGGCCUUGUACACACCGCCCGUCACACCAUGAGAGUUUGUAACACCCAAAGUCGGUGGGGUAACCUUUUGGAGCCAGCCGCCUAAGGUGGGACAGAUGAUUGGGGUGAAGUCGGAACAAGGUA